rnacentral:tRNA from 1 species
AUUUAAAUAGUUUAAUAAAAACGUUGGUCUUGUAAACCAAAAAUAAGAAAUAUUUCUUUUUAAAUA